CUGUAUUCCAUCCGUUGUGUGACUCAACCACAGUUUAUUCAACUAUUCUCCUGUUGAUGGUUCUUGCAACUGUGAACACUGCUGCUAUGACUCUUCCUGACCUACAUUUGCAACAAUAUCUGUUCAGUGUUCCCUGACCUCCCUGGACCUCAGUUUCCAAAUCUGCUGAUGGAGGAUGAUGUUUUCAGUGCCUACACAGCUCCCAAAGUGAAGAUGAUAUGGAAACUGGGUGGUGUCGAGGACGGUCACACAGAGCCAAGGAGCAGAAAUGCUUGCCCUGCUUCUGCCAUGGUCUUCACAGUGAGAGACAGGCAGCUAUGCCCCUGAAUUCUCCAGGACCUGCCAAGUUGGGCCAUUUCAGAGAGGAGAAACUGAGACUCGGAGCUAUGUAAUCAGCAUACUGGAGCAUAGAAAGCAGAGACAGGCAGAAGGCAAGAACUCAGAGAUGGGAAAGGAAUCCUGACCCACCCAGAUUGGCAAAGCCAUUGCAGACCCAUGGUUCUGGGGUUUUCCUGUUGGCUCGCAAAGUGAUAUCAAGUCAGAGGUAUUGUUUUCCCUUGUCUCUGCCAUUGAUAAGACAGAGAAAAACAGCUCCCAUGAUAACAUUGAUGCUGCCAGCCCUUCCUGCUACUGGCUUUCCUGGUUGGAGUCCUCUCCUAUGCUCCUUCCUCUCUCUCCUUCCGGACUGAGAUUCAAGCCGAGAUGCCUUGUGGGGCAAAGGAGCCGGCGGUGAGGUUCCCUCCUUCAGUUGCUUCAGCAGGCACAUAGCUCCUUCUGAUCUUGGACAAAGCCCAAAAGGCUCUGAGGCAGUGGUGUGCUGGGGCAGGCUCAUACUGACUCAUUAGAGCCAAUUGCUAAAUUUCGGGGAAUCUUGUAAGCCAAUUGUUAAACACAGUCAUUAUUAAAAAUUAGAUGAUAUGAGAUUGCAACUAAAUAAUUUAUACUUUUUUAAAAGUAAUAAACACUCCUAACUCAUCAUGUCCUAUUUACUUUAUUGCAUUUUACUGUUAACUAUCCUCUGGAGGUAAUUUACA
rnacentral:lncRNA from 10 species